UUUGCAUUGUACUGAGUUUCAAUCAUUUUAUGAAAUUUUUGAAACAACAAGUUCACUUCAUCUUUGGUCUUCAUCAAGCAUAACCAUGUCAUUCUGGUACAAUCAUCAAUAAAAGUAACAAACCAACGUGAGCCACUCAAAGUUGGGACUUUGGAUGGGCCCCAAACAUCAGAAUGUAUAACCAUAAAAGGAAAUGGACUUUUAUUCAAAAUUAACGGAAACAAAGCACGAUGGCUUUUAGUCAAUUCACAAAUAUCACAACGGAAACCAGAAAUAUCACUCUUUGCAAACAAACUAGGAAACAAUUUUUUUAAAUAACCAAAGGAAGCAUGUCCCAGACGUCGAUGUCAUAACCAAAUUUCAGACUUUUUCUUCUCCCCCUCAGAUCCAUCUGCCAUCAAGGCUUGUUGCAACUUAUUUGAAUCCUUUGAUUGCAAGUCCAAGUAAUAGAGUUUUCCCUGUUUAAUACCACAACCAAUCGUCUGUCUUGUUUGGAUGUCCUUAAUCACACAAAAUUCAGGCUAAAAAAUGACAAUACAAGAUAAGGCUGUAGCGAUUUGAGAAACUGACAAAAGAUUAUAAUCUAAAGAUGGAACAACUAAAACAGAAUCCAAAUUCAAAGUAUCAGUGAGAGUUAAGGAUCCUUCCCCAAUGACUGGGGUUGUGUUACUAUUGGCUGUGGAAAUAAUUUUUUGUGAGGAAGGUCUAAGGGGUGAAACCUGUCUAGAAUCAAAAGUCAUAUGAUCUGUAGCACCAGAAUCAAUUAUCCAUGCACUAUUAAUAACAGGUGUAAAAGUAUUUAAAAACUUACCACCAUGAUCAAUAGCGGCUACCAAUGCAGAGGCUUUCUCAGCAACAUUAGCCUCUAUUUUUAUUUCGACAACAAUUGCAGUCGAGGUUUUCUUGGGAUCCUUCUUCCGUUGAUCACGAUUAUUAUAAUUAAUAACAAAGUGUUGAUAGCCUAAACAUGAUCUAAAGGUCCAUGGUUUAAACCCUUGGUUCCUUAUUGUUUUCCUGGUCAUACCAAGAGUCGUUGCUUUGAAAUUGUGGGAUAUCCAGACUGGUGAGACCAGUCUUAUUGAAGGGAGUGCAUUUGAAGGUUGACUUAUCAAUAUUAGGGAUUGUCUUAGGAUGGUUGAUCGCUAUUGGACUACCAUAGCGACAAAAUAUCCAGGAUUUCAGUUCCAUGGCUCUGAUACCAUCUUCAAAUUGUUAAAUGGUAGUUUUUUUCAUUCAUACUUUCAUUCGUUCAUGUACAGAGUAUAUAUAGAGGGUAAUCACCAUUCUAAGAAUGAGAAAUAAUGAUACAAAGAAAGAAUGAUAUAAGGAAAUAACAACUAAUAUCCUAAUAUCUCAACUUUCCUAAUAUCUCAAUAUUCCUAAUAUCUCAAUAUUCCUAGUAUCUCAAUAUUCCUAAUAUCUCAAUAUUCAUAAUAUCUCAACUUUCCUAAUAUCUAAACAUUCCUAAUAUCUCAACACUAAAUGAUAUAAGGAAAGAAUGAUAUAAGGAAAGCAUUCUUAAUAUCUCAACACUAACAACUCCAUGACUGACGUUGCCACUGAAAUAUUGAACAGAACUCCGAAGUUGCUUACUGCUCGUAACAUCCUUGGAGAGACGCCUCUCUUUCGAGCGGUCCGGUAUGGGAAAGAUGAAAUGUUCAAGCUACUAGCUGAGAAGCUUGACCGUAUGGAUUUUGAAACUGAAGAAGAUCGUAAAGCCUGUUUGCAGAGGAAUGAUGGAACAACUAUUCUCCAUAUUUCCGUAUUUACUGAGAAUUUUGACUUGGCGCUGUUGAUUGCGGAAAGAUAUGAAGAUUUAAUUAGCGCCUGGGACUCUAACCAAAUGACGGCUCUUCAACAUCUAGCAUGCAACCCAUCGGCAUUUCUCAGUGGAUGCGAACACGGACAUCUGAGGCGAUUCAUCUACUCUUGUAUUUCAAACAAGGCCAGGGGAAGUCGGUGUCAAGAUCUUAAAUCUGAUGCUAAAUCACGCUUUAGAUGGCCCGUUUGGGAAGCACUUUUGGAAGAAAAGCAUAGAUAUGAAGCAGCUUGCGAACUUGCCAAUAAGUUACUAGAAAGUGAUACUUCAUGGGAGGCUACGAAUCCUCAAGCAGUGGACCGAGGUGUGCCUACAAAGUCCAUUUCUGUGCAAGAGAAAGGAGGAGGCUCAUUGGUAUCAUCAAAAGAAAAGGAAAAAGUGGAGCUCUCUAUUGUCCUGCAACACCCAGAUGAAAAGAAAGGAAAAACCUCUCCAAAAGGCAAUAGAACUAGAUUCAACAAUAUCAGGAACAAGGAAACUCCAUUGUUUUUGGCAACAAUAUCAGGCAUUCCAGAGAUUGUCGGUGAAAUACUCAAGAAGUACCCCCAGGCAAUUGAGCAUUAUAAUGACCAAGGAAGGAACAUACUUCAUGUAGCGAUCAAUUACCGCCAGAUAGAGAUUUUUGAUGUGGUAGUUAAGAUGGAAAUGCCAGCCAGGAGGCUACUACGGGCAACAGACACUAAAGGGAACUCCAUUCUGCAUAUGGUUGGAAAGAAAGAAAAACGCUACGUCUCGAGAAAAACACGAUCCCCUGCAAUCCAAUUGCAAGAGGAGUUGCUCUUGUUUGAGCGUGUGAAGGAAUACUCUAAAUCCCAUUUCCUCAAGGUCUUCAACCAUAACAACCAGACUGCAGAUGAAUUAUUUGCUUCCAACUACUGUGAACUUCAUGAGGAAGCCAAAGAAUAGCUGAAGCGCACCGUUGAAAACUGCACCAUUAUGGCUGUUCUUAUUGCUACCGUUGCCUUUGCUGCAGCCUACACUAUACCAGGAGGACCAAAUCAAAGCACUGUUACAAGACUUCAAGAAGUCUCUUCUUCGAAAGUUGAUGCUCGGUUUUACGUUUUUGAUCCUUUCCGUGUCGAUGAUGAUGGUGGCAUUUGGUGCAAUAGUCAUCCUUAUGAUACAAAAUAAGGAAAGGUGGACCAAAAUUGUCCUAUACUCGGUUGCAUUCCUCCCAGUUAUUAUUUUUGCGCUCUCAUAUUCCCCGCUAUAUUAUAGACUCCUGAAAGCUUGCACUGGUCUGCUCAAUCUUGCACUUGAACUUUGCCCCAAGUGUACUUGUGUUUCUCCACCAUCAUGGACAACCAAGUUUUUCAACCGCGGAGAAUCCAAGCCCAACCGCCCUCAAUCUCAAACAUUCAGUUCCAAAUGCCCUUCUACAUUUCAAACCACUGAUUCUUCAGUUUGAAAGGCCGAUGAGGACCUAUGUAUGUAUGUAUGAAUGAUUUGACUGCUUCUUUCUCAUUUAUUUGCUUAGAACUGAUUGUACAAAUGUUAUGUAAUAAGUUAACAAAUGAAAAAAAUGAAAUGGAAGGUUUUAAUAAAUGCAGAAAAAACCCAACA